rnacentral:rRNA from 1 species
GCAGUCGAACGGCAGCAUGAUCUAGCUUGCUAGAUUGAUGGCGAGUGGCGAACGGGUGAGUAAUACAUCGGAACGUGCCCUGUAGUGGGGGAUAACUAGUCGAAAGAUUAGCUAAUACCGCAUACGACCUGAGGGUGAAAGUGGGGGACCGCAAGGCCUCAUGCUAUAGGAGCGGCCGAUGUCUGAUUAGCUAGUUGGUGAGGUAAAGGCUCACCAAGGCGACGAUCAGUAGCUGGUCUGAGAGGACGAUCAGCCACACUGGGACUGAGACACGGCCCAGACUCCUACGGGAGGCAGCAGUGGGGAAUUUUGGACAAUGGGGGCAACCCUGAUCCAGCAAUGCCGCGUGUGUGAAGAAGGCCUUCGGGUUGUAAAGCACUUUUGUCCGGAAAGAAAUCGCACUUACUAAUAUUAGGUGUGGAUGACGGUACCGGAAGAAUAAGGACCGGCUAACUACGUGCCAGCAGCCGCGGUAAUACGUAGGGUCCAAGCGUUAAUCGGAAUUACUGGGCGUAAAGCGUGCGCAGGCGGUUGUGCAAGACCGAUGUGAAAUCCCCGGGCUUAACCUGGGAAUUGCAUUGGUGACUGCACGGCUAGAGUGUGUCAGAGGGGGGUAGAAUUCCACGUGUAGCAGUGAAAUGCGUAGAGAUGUGGAGGAAUACCGAUGGCGAAGGCAGCCCCCUGGGAUAACACUGACGCUCAUGCACGAAAGCGUGGGGAGCAAACAGGAUUAGAUACCCUGGUAGUCCACGCCCUANACGAUGUCAACUAGUUGUUGGGGAUUCAUUUCCUUAGUAACGUAGCUAACGCGUGAAGUUGACCGCCUGGGGAGUACGGUCGCAAGAUUAAAACUCAAAGGAAUUGACGGGGACCCGCACAAGCGGUGGAUGAUGUGGAUUAAUUCGAUGCAACGCGAAAAACCUUACCUACCCUUGACAUGCCACUAACGAAGCAGAGAUGCAUUAGGUGCUCGAAAGAGAAAGUGGACACAGGUGCUGCAUGGCUGUCGUCAGCUCGUGUCGUGAGAUGUUGGGUUAAGUCCCGCAACGAGCGCAACCCUUGUCUCUAGUUGCUACGAAAGGGCACUCUAGAGAGACUGCCGGUGACAAACCGGAGGAAGGUGGGGAUGACGUCAAGUCCUCAUGGCCCUUAUGGGUAGGGCUUCACACGUCAUACAAUGGUGCAUACAGAGGGUUGCCAAGCCGCGAGGUGGAGCUAAUCCCAGAAAAUGCAUCGUAGUCCGGAUCGUAGUCUGCAACUCGACUACGGAAGCUGGAAUCG